GGAGCCUUGGGAGGAGCCUGAAUCACUGAUGGAAUUGGACGGUGCAUGGAGAUGGUUGGGCAGGAUGAGGGUAAGUGCAGGGGCGUGGCCAGGUCAUACUGGGAGACAAUGAGCGGCAUUGAUGGAGACAGACAAUGAUCGAGAAGAUCACGAUGAAGAACAAAAAUACAGAGACAGCAAAAAUAAACUUCUUAUCAGUCAAGUGGCGUACUACCUGGCCUGCCGGCUGAGGAUGAAAGUCCCUGGCUUUCUGUAUUGUUACCCAAACAUCAGCAAGGUGGAUUCCGGUAAGCUUCCUUCCAGAAAAGACCCAGAGGUGAAUGUUCCAGAAGCCAUUGUGAAAUCCUGCUCCCAGCGGGAAGAUAACAAACCGGAUGUUGGAGUCCGCCGAAAUAGAUGUCUUCUGAGUGAGGUGAACUACUCCCUGAACUACCGGCUGAGGGCAUACGGUGAUCAAGAUUAUAAUGAAAAACGGAAAUACAGAGAAAGCAAAAAUAAGCAUUUUACAAGUCAAGCGGCCUUCUGCCUGGGCUCUUGGCUGAAGACGGAAGUCCCUGGCUUUCUGUGUUCUGCCCCAAACGUCCACAUGGUGGCGUCUGGCAGGCCUUCUUCCAGAAUACACCCAGAGGUGAACUUUCCAGAAGGCAUUGAGAAAUUCUGCUCACAACAGGAAGAAAACAAACCAAAUGUCGGAGCCAGCAAAAACAGACUUCUUCUGAGCCAGGUGGCCUACUUCCAGAACUACCGGCUGAAGACAGACAAAGAUCGAAAAGGUCAUGACGAAGAACAGAAAUACAGAGACAGGAAAAAUAAACUUCUUAUGAGUCAAGUUGCCUACUACCUGGGCUGCCAGCAUAAGACGGAAGUCCCUGGCUCUCUGUUAUCUUGUUCAAACAUCAGCAAGGGGGCAUCUGGCCGGCCUCCUUACAGAAAAUACACAGAGGUGAACGUUCCAGAAGGCAUUGAGAAAUCCUACUCCCAGCAGGAAGAUAAACUGAAUGUCAGAGUCAGCAAAAAUAGAUGUCUUCUGAGUGAGGCGAACUACUCCCUGAACUGCCGGCUGAAGACCUACAGUAAGUUCUAUUGUAUGGAUGAGUAAGUACUGACCCAUUGGUUCAGUCUCCUAUAUAAAUUUCUCUAACCAUUCCUUGACCAUGAUAUAAUGAGAUAGAUGAGUAUUGCAGCAACCCUUCUGGAAAGUAGGGCAAGUUUUGAAGAUUUUGGGAAAAAAGUUUUAAUUGUUUGCACUGACUUAAGUCUUAGGAUAUGGGAUUGAUUUCUACAAGAUGAGACAGAUUUUGUCCCGUGGAUCUGAAAAGCAGGCUCAUCUGCUUCUGAGGCAACUUAAUCUCGGGCCCAUUAGAACAUUCCCAUCAUAAUAUCUCA
rnacentral:lncRNA from 13 species